ACACACCAGUGGACUGGUUUCCUUGCUAAGUGCAAAUGUCACAGGGACACAUGGCACCCUCCAGAGCUCCCAUCUAGCCUGCUCCUUCUUAGACUUAUCCAGUGUCAACUGAUGCCGCAUCUCAUGCUUCACAGAAAGAUAAAAACCAUCACAUGGGGACUUGCUGCUUAUCUGUCACAUUUCCCUGCUACUGCAGCUAUGUAUCUGUCCUAAAUUAAAGCUGGUCCUACACCGGUGCAGUGGCUCAUGCCUGUAAUCCCAGCACUUUGGGAGGCCAAGCAGGGUAGAUCAUCUAAGAGCUCAAGACCAGCCUGGGCAACAUAGACAAGCCUGGGCAAACUUGUCUCUCCAAAAAAUUAGUUGGGUACAGUGGUGCGUGCCUAUGGUCCCAUCUACUUGAGAGGCUGAGGUGGGAGGAUCGCUUGAGCCCAGGAGGCAGAGGUUAUAGUGAGCCAAGUUCGUGCUAUUGCACUCCAGCCUGAGCAACAGAGCAAGACCCUGUCUUAAAAAAUAAAUAGAGCCGGUCUUCCUGUUGGGCUGGAUGGACAACCCCACCUGCCUGCCCACCAGGGAUUUUGCCCCUGCAGUUGUCCCCUUUCCUUCUUCUAUCACUAAUCCUUCAUUUUUAUUUGACCUUUCCUGGCAGUUUGCGAAGAACAGGCUGGGUUCUGCCUGGAGAGAGGCUUGGUUCUCUAGUCUCCUUUAGGGUAAAUGGAGGCAGAUGCUCUGAUUCUGAUGUGAGGCAGCUGCACCAUGAGGUUGUGGGAGAGUAGCAGCGUCUGGUGGGCAUGAACUGUGGUGUCAGAACUUCCAGUCCCAGCACCACUACUUCUUAGUGUUCGCUACCAUGAAGCAGUUCUGUAGCUUCCCUGAGUCUCACUUUCCUCUUCUGUAAAAUGAGGACAGUGGUGGGGCCUGCCUUAGAGGAGCACUGGGCGGCCCUCCAAGUGCCCCAGGCUGAGCGUCACUCCUUGCUGCACCUCAUGCCUGGUGUCCCUCCCCAGGCUGUUCAGCUGGGCGCUGCUGCGGUUCCUGAACUGCCUCUUCCUGAAUGUGCAGCUCCACAAGGGUCAGAUGAAGAUGGUCCAGAAGGCCGCCCAGGCAGGCUCGCCACUUGUCCUCCUCUCUACUCACAAACCUCCUGGACGGGAUCCUGCUACCCUUUAUGCUGCUCUCCCAGGGCCUGGGUGUGCUCCGUGUGGCCUGGGACUCCCGCGCCUGCUCCCCUGCCUCAGGUAAAAAGCUUUUGCCUCUAGACAUACGUGGGAGAAGCCG
rnacentral:lncRNA from 1 species